rnacentral:rRNA from 1 species
UACAGAGGUCUCAAGCGUUGUUCGGAUUCAUUGGGCGUAAAGAGUGCGUAGGUGGUGCCUUAAGUCUGUUGUGAAAUCUCCCGGCUUAACUGGGAGGGUGCGGUGGAAACUGGGGUGCUUGAGUGUGGGAGAGGUAAGCGGAAUUCCUGGUGUAGCGGUGAAAUGCGUAGAUAUCAGGAGGAACACCGGUGGUGUAGACGGCUUACUGGACCACGACUGACACUGAGGCACGAAAGCUAGGGGAGCAAACAGG